rnacentral:tRNA from 1 species
GAUGGUUUGGCGGCGCUUUGUGCGGCGGCCUUGAAAACCGUCGUGGCAGCGAUGUCACCGUGGGUUCAAAUCCCACACCCACCG